AUGUAUGUAUGUAUAUGUAUAUAUAUAUAUGUGUAUAUAUAUGUGUGUAUAUAUAUAUAUGCACACAUACAGAUAGAGGGAGUUAUGUGGUAGUUUAUUCCUAAAUUAAUCACCAGGACCCCUAUAUGUGUCCUCUUUUAGAUGAGGUAAACGUGUGGGGGACAGAAGCAGACCCCAGCUUUAAAUCAUUUUUCCAUCACCAGGGGUCUGGUUUCUCUCUCACCUACCACCACCAACCACCUGCCCACCACUCCCCAUCCGGUCCUUUUGGCCUUUCACAAACCCCCUCUUUUCUUUUUUCUCCUGUCUAGUCACUCUGUAGUGGUGGGCAUAUUAGAUGUGAGAGGUGAUGGCUGACCCCUCCCCUCC